rnacentral:misc_RNA from 1 species
CGCACCUUGCGCUCUUUGGUAUUCCGAAGAGCAUGCCUGUUUGAGUGUCAUUAAAUUCUCAACUCCUCAGCUGUUGUCAUGACCGCUGUUGAGCUUGGAUGUGAGGGUUUUGCUGGCUUUCACGAGUCAGCUCCCUUGAAAAUUAUUAGCGCAGCUUCUGCAAGUCGCUUCAGGUGUGAUAAUCUAUCUACGUCUGUUAGCUCUUGCAUAAUUGAAGAUUUGUGCUUCCAACCGUCUUAUUGCAAGACAAUAUUUUUUGAACUUGACCUCAAAUCAGGUAGGACUACCCGCUGAACUUAA